CACGGGCUCCGCAGGCGCGCAGGCCUGGGCGGGCCUUGCUGGAAAUCAACUUCCGGUGAGCAGGACCUGGACGCUGGUGGUGCGUGGGCAGCACCAACCUGGGUACCUGGGCCGGGAUCUCCGCAGGGAGGGAGGCGGUGCCGGCCCGCGUCCUGCGCAGGUGUCCGCGAGCGGCGGCGGCGGGAGCAGGUAAAUGGGUGCUCGCCACCAGGGUCCGGGGCUCGGCCGCGCGCGGGCGUCCCCGGGUGGGAACGUGGCCGAGCUGUCUCCAGCCCCGAGGCCUCGGCGGCGCCCAGCUCCGGCCCCCGCCCGUGUGGAUCUGCACCUGCGUGGUCGCGGGUGGAGAGGGGAGGCUGGCGUGCUGGCCGCGCCGCGGCUGGGGCUCCGGCGGAACGGAAGUGCCGCACCGGCCGCGGUUCCCGCCGGCGCCGAGCGGCAAGCCCCUUCCGGUUUCAGUCCUUUGGGAGCCGGCGGUGGUGCUGGCGUGCGCAGUGCGGGUCCUCCCGGAGCGCCGGUCACGUGACGCGCGCGCGGGCGACCCAGACCGCCGAGGGGAGAGCUUGGUGGCGGAUGCUCGCCCGCUGCGUCUCCCGCAGAGGACGCCGCGUCCUCCUCCUCGUCCUCCUCCUCGUCCUCCUCCUCGUCCUCUUCGUCUUCCUCCUCCUCGUCCUCCUCCUCGUCCUCCUCCUCGUCCUCCUCCUCGUCCUCCUCCUCGUCCUCCUCGUCCUCGUCUUCCUCCCCCUCCCCGUCCUCCUCCUCCUCGUCUUCCUCCCCCCGUCCCUCCCCCUCCCCGUCCUCCUCCUCCUCGUCUUCCUCCCCCUCCCCGUCCUCCCCCUCCCCGUCCUCCUCCUCCUCGUCUUCCUCCUCCUCCUCGUCCUCCUCCCAGCUGAGGGUCCUCACUGUGCAUCCCCACCCCCUCCACAUCCCCCCUCCCCCUCCGCCGUCUCAGGAGCUCGUUUGCACGCUGCGGGUGUGAACUGCCCCGUGCAGUGUGAUGAUAGCGUGUGUGAACUGCCCCGUGCAGUGUGA
rnacentral:lncRNA from 1 species